GAUGAACGCUAGCGGCAGGCUUAACACAUGCAAGUCGAGGGGCAGCAUGAGACGGAGAUUCGUCGAAGUCUUGAUGGCGACCGGCGCAAGGGUGCGUAACGCGUGAGCAACUUGCCCGUUUCAGGGGGAUAACCGGUGGAAACGCCGACUAAUACCCCAUGGCAUCAUUUUAAGGCAUCUUUUAAUGAUUAAAGAAUUUCGGAAACGGAUAGGCUCGCGUGACAUUAGCUUGAUGGCGGGGUAACGGCCCACCAUGGCGACGAUGUCUAGGGGUUCUGAGAGGAAGGUCCCCCACACUGGAACUGAGACACGGUCCAGACUCCUACGGGAGGCAGCAGUGAGGAAUAUUGGUCAAUGGGCGAGAGCCUGAACCAGCCAAGUAGCGUGAAGGAAGACUGCCCUAUGGGUUGUAAACUUCUUUUGUUCGGGAAUAAAGUGCAGUACGCGUACUGUUUUGUAUGUACCGUUCGAAUAAGCAUCGGCUAAUUCCGUGCCAGCAGCCG
rnacentral:rRNA from 1 species